ACGAACGCUGGCGGCGUGCUUAACACAUGCAAGUCGAACGGAAAGGCCCUGCUUUUGUGGGGUGCUCGAGUGGCGAACGGGUGAGUAACACGUGAGUAACCUGCCCUUGACUUUGGGAUAACUUCAGGAAACUGGGGCUAAUACCGGAUAGGAGCCCCUGCUGCAUGGUGGGGGUUGGAAAGUUUCGGCGGUUGGGGAUGGACUCGCGGCUUAUCAGCUUGUUGGUGGGGUAGUGGCUUACCAAGGCUUUGACGGGUAGCCGGCCUGAGAGGGUGACCGGCCACAUUGGGACUGAGAUACGGCCCAGACUCCUACGGGAGGCAGCAGUGGGGAAUAUUGCACAAUGGGCGGAAGCCUGAUGCAGCAACGCCGCGUGCGGGAUGACGGCCUUCGGGUUGUAAACCGCUUUCGCCUGUGACGAAGCGUGAGUGACGGUAAUGGGUAAAGAGGCACCGGCUAACUACGUG
rnacentral:rRNA from 1 species